UGUGAAAAGGCGGGAAACAGGCGACGCUCGAGGCUCGCGCAUGCGCACACAGUCAACUGCGUCUCGGGCGCCUGAGGGGAAGCGGCCUGGUCUGUGGCGGCGCUGUGGAGAGGGCGUCCCUCGAGCCUGGGUU
ensembl:miRNA